rnacentral:rRNA from 1 species
AGCGAACGUUAGCGGCGGGCCUAACACAUGCAAGUCGAGCGAGAAAGCGGCUUCGGCCGUUAGUAAAGCGGCGGACGGGUGAGUAACACGUGGAUAAUCUGCCCUUCAGCGGGGGAUAACUGUCCGAAAGGAUAGCUAAUACCACGUACGUCGGCGAGGACCUCGGUUCUUGUCGGGAAAGCAGCCCUCUUCAUGAAAGGUUGCACUUAAGGAUGAGUCCUCGUCCCAUCAGCUAGUUGGUGGGGUAAUGGCUCACCAAGGCUUAGACGGGUGGCUGGUCUGAGAGGAUGAUCAGCCACACUGGAACUGAGACACGGUCCAGACUCCUACGGGAGGCAGCAGUGGGGAAUAUUGGGCAAUGGGCGCAAGCCUGACCCAGCCACGCCGCGUGAGUGAUGAAGGCCUUCGGGUCGUAAAGCUCUGUGGGGAGCGACGAAAAAACGCUGGCUAACAUCCAGCGGACUGACGGUAGCUCCUUAGCAAGCACCGGCUAACUCUGUGCCAGCAGCCGCCGUAAAAC